rnacentral:lncRNA from 1 species
AUGUUAUUAAGUCGUAUGUUCAUAUAUCCUGAUGUUCAUCUGUUCAACAAAGGGACAACAGGAUGUGUGUGUCUUACCUGUUUGGUCCACUCAGACAUGACGUGUGUGCUCGGCGUCCUGAAGUGGAGGUUGAGGACGACCACACAGUUCAGCACCACCACCGUCACCACCACCAUGAUGAACAUCAAAUAUCUUCAACACACAAACACACUCAGGUCCCAGACUGUUAAUCUGCCUGACGCUGGCUUCAGUACGAUCUGUGACUCUGCACUGACUGUCUGCGGGCAGGUAGUAGACCAGCGAGGCCAGGAAGGAGAUGAGCACGCAGGGGAUGAUGAUGUUGACCACGUAGAAGAGAGGUUUGCGUCUGAUGACCAGGUAGAAGGUGAUGUCCUGAUGCUUGUUGCUCUCCAUGGGAAUGUGUUUGUAGGUGUUUCUCUUGGCGGGUCGGUGGAUGAUCUCCCACUCACCAUUCUCUGUUGGUCAAAGCCAGAGUUCAGACACAAGUGAUGAAGUUAUGACUGUCAGUCUGGUUGGAGCUGCAGCCAGUCUGAAGGCUCAGGCUCUGGGGAAAACAACUUCUCUGCAUGUAUCAACAGCAUCCAGUACACUGAAAGUCACCCACAAGCUCCAGGACUGUAUGCAGUAAAAAAUAAAAAUAAAUGGAAAUUAAUCUUUACUUGGUUACCUGUAAAGCUUGCAGGAUCAAUAAUGAUCCAUUCAACCGUACACUUGGUUUCAUUGACUCUUUCUUCCUUCAGGAGCAACCUGAUCUCUUUGGCAUUGUACGUUAGAGAGCUGCAAGGCAACAUGGGAAAUGCAGUUCAGAAUUUAAAAAGCCUUUUUUCCUACUGGGAGAGUUUAGCUGCACCGUGCAUUUUAUUUUUGCACCUUUUUCUCCUCUCAUAUGUGUUUAGAUUCUAUAAAAUCUUGACUCAGCUCAGUUUAAAACAUCAUGUCAGAGUUUGUCUGCGUUUCAAACAACAAUGAAAAAUCCUGCCCGUGCAUACGUGAAUUUGAGCGUGCAGUCCUGCCAGUCAAAGGGGAAAUAUUUGACGCUGAUGGAGCAGGACGAUCUGAAGAUGGUGGGUGGUAAUCAGUAGCAGAGACCUGUUGAAUCCACUAGAACGUUGCAGUAGUAGGCCACGUUGAAUUGGGCAUCGUUGCUGAGGAGGUGGUUGUACACACGGAAAUGUAUUAAACAUAACGAAUUCAAGUAUAAAUAACAGGACAAGUGAUACUUGUUCAUUGUUAUGACUAUUUGAUCAUGUUAAAGGGGUUGAAACCAUAUUUUAUUUAGAAACUCUUUCUGAACUCUGGUGCUCUGAAACAUCUCCGCUUCCAUUUUCAGCUGUUUUUAUUAUCAAUAACGUCAAAUCAUCCAUCCAUCCAAAUCGUUGUCCUGUUGGACCACCAAAGGACAAACACUUUCCAUUUAGCAUGGACAAAAAAAUCCUGUUUAGCAAUAAAGCUCGGCUCCAUUCUCAGGUUUGUAGGUGUAGCAUGAAGUCAGGCCCACUGCUGCUUUCUGCAGCUUUAGGAGAACAAGAAUAGAUUUUAUCAGCAGACUGUGAGAAUAAACAAGUGGAGUUUGUUCCUGAUUGUAGCAGGAACCUCUGCGCAGGUAAAGCUAACACAGCCAGCUGGAUCAAAUUAGACACACAACAGACAGUAGAUGGGGCCAAGGAGUAAAGAUGCUUUUUGUAAAAAAAAAUAAAAUAAAAAAAAAGAUACAGCUGAGGCUGAAAGUGUCUGAAAUAGUCUAAUAGUUUAAUUAUUUAUCCCUCUUCACAUUAAACAAGACUUUAAAAUUCCUCUUCUGUGAUUAAGAAGCUCACCCAUUUUCUGCAUGUCAAGCUUUGCCUCCGUUCAGAGGUUCUGGCUUCAACCAUAAACUAUUCUAAAAAUGGAAUAAUUAAAAUAAGAAAAAGAAUCAUCUUAGAAUAAGCAAGGGAUUGCGAAGUACACAGUCACUGAUUCUCAAUUUAAUUUUUAUGCUUAUUUUUGUGAAUAUAUUUUAGAUUUGAUAUUUUUUAAAAUUUGAAACUUUACUGUGUUUCCUUAUGUGUUUAUCUGCUUUGUGUUAUGUGACUGAGGAUCAAAACAUUUUUACAUGUACAUUUUGGCAUAAGUUAAAAAUACAUUAGUGUAAUUCUAAUAGUGUAAUAUCAUACUGUCGAAAUAUUUGCAUGAGGAAGUUUAUGUAAUGACAUUUUGGGUAUAAAUAAAGUUGAUGAGUCUUUAUAUUUUCUGUUAAGUUUAAAUGUAUUUGUUAUUUGACUCUUUAUUUGCAUUUUGAAUGAAACUUGAACGCAAAGUUGUCUGCUCCUUUGUUUACUUCCGGUUCCUGUCGCUAGUUUCCGGUCUCGUGAGCUAACUCUCGCUAGCUUGUCACUGACGGUGGUUGUCAGCGCAGCAUCAGCGAGUCUCCAGCCCGGACGCGGCUCCUUCGUGCGUCCACAGAGGCUCCGUCUGUCUCCUACUGACUUGUAUCUCGACAUUUUGUCGUCGCUGCUGGUUGUCAAACGUUUGCUGGAACUUGUGGCGCUCGGCUGCCGGCGACGGCAGCUAUAUCUGUUUUAAAGAAGCGGAGGAGACCGCGGAGGAGGUUCCGAGGAUGAACCCUCAGUGCGCCCGCUGUGGGAAGAUCGUCUACCCGACAGAGAAAGUGAGCUGCCUGGACACCGUGAGCUGGAUGACCCGGAGAAGCGUCCUUUUAGUCCGUUUUUGCGAGGAUGACAGAAACGGGAACCUUUGGGCAGGUCCUGUGUGUGUUGUCUUGUUAUUUUAUAUGACAAAGAGACGAGACGUGUUUCUAAGCCAAGCGUCUUUACUUGUUCCAGCACGUGUACCCCUUGCCUGCUACCGAGCAUGCUGGGUAAUGUAGUUGUCCUUCUAUUAAACACAUAACACCACAUCUUCCCCCCUUUAAAGAAAGAUUUAUCCUUACGCGAAGACAUAAAAAAAAUGUUUUAACAUUAAAUGUUUUUUAAUGUUUUUUAAAUUUUUUAACUUCUUGGCAUUGUAACUGUUUGUAAACAACUUUCUGCGUAAACUUUGUUUUAGAUUGAAGAAGAAAAUAAUAAAGUGCAAAUUAUCUAAACAUCUGAACAGCUUAUGAACAUGUCAACAAUUCCCAACAACCCACAAAGUGCUCAACAGGUCUCGAUCAGCCUCUUAGGUGGCUGAACAUGUCUCUUUGGUCUCGACAACCCUGCAGCAGGUGGUGAUGCUUGCACUUUUGUCAAACCAUGGUCAGCACAAUCAGGCCCACUACCAGCCGGUUCUGCCGAUCCAGCUGUGUCCUGCUGGACGGCUUCCUGGGCCACAGUGUCCCUCUGACUCUGCUGCAGCUGAAGAUCUAUGCGGUUCCUUCUCAACAGCAGACCACUGUCCACCUGGACUCUGUAGGAUCGUGGAGCAACUUCUUCCUGCACCUGUCCGGUUUGCUGCCAUGUGCCUGUGGAACAGUCCCUGAGACGAACAUUGUCUCCAGGCUUCAGCAUAGGCAGGUGUUUCGCCUUCCGAUCAUGCCGCUUGUUUCUCCUUCUGGCCCUCCUUCGACUUUCUGAUUCUGGAUGCCCCUUUGGGUGUCAGCAAGUCCUCACACACUGGCAGGUUAGAUCGAAUGCGCCUACCCAUCAGCAUUUGUGCUGGCGACAGUCCAUUUUGUAAGGGUGUGCUCCGGUAGAUCAGAACACUCUUUUGGAAGCUGUCAUUGGUUUGUGACUUUUUCAACAGGUUUUUUACAGUCUUCACAGAGCUCUCCGCCAAGCCAUUUGAUUUUGGAUAUGUUGGGCUCGGCGUGGUGUUCUUGAAUCCCCAUUCUUUGGCAAAAACAGCAAACUCCCCGCUAGAAAACUGAGGCCCAUUGUCCGAAAACAACUCGCACGGGACACCGUGUCUGGCAAAAACAGUCUUUAGAUAGAUGAUCACUGUUUUGCUCGAUGUCGACUGCAGCAUUCCAACUUGGAAAGUUUGAGAAGUAGUCAGUGACCACUAUGUAGCUCUUUCCAUCCCAGUCGAACAGAUCAGUUCCAACCUUGUAGUAGGGUCUGUGGGGCACUGGAUGAGUCAUCAGCGGCUCAGCUUGUUGUUUUGGUCUGUAGAUGCGGCAUAGUUCACAUGAUGCCGUUACCUGGCUAAUAUCUUGAUUCAUUCUUGGCCAGUACAUUACUUCCCUAGCUCUACGCUUACACUUGACCUCUCCAAGGUGGCCUUCAUGUAUCUUUUGUAGCAUCAGUCUACGUAGAGAAGAAGGAAUAACAAGCUUGCUCCCUUUCAUCACGAUGUCAUCCACCACCAUGAGCUCUGCUCUACAAUUCCAGUAAUCUUGUAUUUUAACAGGGCAAUUCUUUUUAUUGUCAGGCCAUCCUUUCAAUAUUGCACUCUUGAGUUCUGUCAUUGUUUCAUCUGCAAUAGUCUCUCUCUGUAUUUGCAGUGUUUUGUCUUCAGUCACUGGCAGAGAUGUGACAACCAUGUCCUCGUAUGCCUCUAUUUCUAUGCUUUCCUUACUGUCUGGCUGUUCUUUCCUGUCUACUGCCCUAGACAGAGUGUCGGCUGUGUACAUGUAUUUUCCUUGAGUGUAUAUCAUGUGCACGUCGUAUUUUUGCAGCCUGAUUAGCAUUCGUUGUAUACGUACCGGACAGUCAUUUAAUGGUUUGUUCAUAAUUGACACCAGUGGUUUGGGAUCAGUUUCCACUUCAAACAUCUUGCCAUAAACGUACUGAUGGAAACGUUCACAUGCAUACAAGCUUGCUAACAACUCUUUUUCAAUUUGAGCGUACCUGGACUCGGCGCUCGUCAAGGCUCGUGAUGCAUAGGCAACAGGUAACCACUGCUCUUCAUGUUGCUGCAGCAGCACUGCUCCUGAACCAUAUUGUGAUGCAUCUGCCGAAAUUCUGGUGCUCUUCUCUGGGUCGUAGAACCUCAACACAGGUGCCUGUGUCAGAAUUUCUUUCAGUUUUAGGAAACACUGUUCUUGCUCGUGAGACCAGACCCAUUCAAUCUUUUGCUCAAGCAGACUCCUGAGAGGUGCUGACUGUGUUGA